UGAGCAAUCUGCCCUUCUCAUCGGAAUAAGCGUUGGAAACGACGUCUAAUGCCGAAUACGACCUCCUUUCGCAUGAUCGGAGGUGGAAAGCUCCGGCGGAGAAGGAUGAGCUCGCGGCCUAUCAGCUAGUUGGUGUGGGUAAUAGCCCACCAAGGCGACGACGGGUUGCCGGCCUGAGAGGGUGACCGGCCACACUGGGACUGAGACACGGCCCAGACUCCGUACGGGAGCAG
rnacentral:rRNA from 1 species